AGUUGAUUCAGUCAGAAUCACAUCUUUCAUAAAAUUUUCUUCUAAUUAAUUACAUCAGAAACCCAUACAAACAGACAAAAGACCAUAUAAAUUAUUGCAUGUUCAAUAAAGCGUAAAAUGCAAUAUGCGCGAAUGGAAAGACGAAAUAACUAAACAAAAAGCGAAGCUAAAAGGGUCUCCCAAGCAAAACAAACUUGAACAUCA
rnacentral:misc_RNA from 1 species